rnacentral:rRNA from 1 species
UACGUAGGGGGCAAGCGUUGUCCGGAAUCAUUGGGCGUAAAGCGCGCGUAGGCGGCCAGAUAAGUCCGGUGUGAAAGUCACAGGCUCAACCUGUGAAUGCCGCUGGAAACUGUCUGGCUUGAGUCCGGAAGGGGCGAGUGGAAUUCCUGGUGUAGCGGUGAAAUGCGCAGAUAUCAGGAGGAACACCAAUGGCGAAGGCAGCUCGCUGGAACGGUACUGACGCUGAGGCGCGAAAGCGUGGGAAGCGAACAGG